UAAUUAAUAAAUAAUAAUAGUUUUUGUUUACAUUCACAAAUCCAAUAUCUACUACCACCGUUUGCAAGAAUGUUAUCAACCCAAGCUGGGGUUAGUUUGUUUAUUUUUCAUUCGUUUUUGGAGUAAUGUUUUGACUCCUUGGCUCUGAAAUUAAGCCACAAAAAAAAAAAGCUACCAUUCCAUAAAGAAACCUACUCCACAAUUCCACGGCUCGCAAUACUCCCACAAACACUGGGGCUCUCCUCCUACUGUGCUCUUGCUGCAGUGCAGACUGCUGCCACCUGCCCUCAAAGAAGAAAUAUUACAGUUCACGUUUGGAAGACAUCUCACCACACUAUGGAUUUAAUCCUGGUUAAGUAUGUUGCCUGUGGCACCCUUAAACACGUGAGUGGCUUAUCAAUUUUCCCCUACUCACCUUCCAUCAUUCCAUUAAUUAUUUCUUCUAAUUUAUAUCCCUCUCUCUUUUUUUGCAGUUGCAAUUUACUGACGUCAUGUCUCACAUGCAUGCCUAACAUUGGACCUGGAUGUGGAUGAGGAGGAAGCAAAUAGAAAAACACAUGAGGUUUUUUCAGCACUUCAUAGUUUUUUGACAUCGAAAUAAUUUCUUCUAUGCCAUUGUCAGUGUAUCACCUCCACACUUCCCAGAGCUACAAAUCUAAACUCAUGCUUUAUCUUGGCCCUGGUAUUUUGAUUCCAUUCUGACCACCAGGGAUCUGAAUGCUGCUCAGCUCCAUGCAAGAUAACAUAUUUAUCAGCAUAUGACACGCACAUUUAACUCCUGAAAAGCUUUCUGUUAAAGACGGAAGAAAGAGUGAAGAUAAUGUUGAAGAUAAAGUUCUUAAAGGGUCCCAGUAGGUUGCAGUUUGCGCAGUCCUCCUUGAUAUAUCAAUCCCCCUUCAAAUCACAGUGUCCCUUUCACAGUCACGUUCUAAAGGUAUGAGGUGUCAUUUUUGUACGAAUUUUUAAAUUGAACUUUUAGGUGUAUUACAUGAAAAUGCCUAUGUGUAAAUAGGGUACAUGAUGAUAAUGGAGUUAGUGCUGUGUCCUGUUUCUUCCCAGAUCAUGCACUUACCCUGAGGAGGAGCAAUGGUCCUGCCAGAAGCCGAUGCUGGAGGGUCUUGAAUGCAGCUUUCUGUUAAAGACGGAAGAAAGAGUGAAGAGUCAAGCUCUAUGAUUUUGACCCCUGCUGCUGAAUCCAGGGACAUCCUCUGCCAGAAGGACAUCUCUUAGCUCCGCCUCCCACUCUCGCAACUUGAUAGGCUUUCCUCGGUUUUGUCCUAGUCGAAGCCUCUGCAUCUUCUUUGUAACCGUUGCCCGACAAUCAUAGAACCUGCAAAUGUACAUAAACAUUACAAUUACAUUAAUAAAAAAACAAAUACUUAGAUUAAUGUUUUUUGAAAACCACAUUUCUUUUCACAUUGUGAUGGUUAUAUGUAUACUGUUCAGCAUGUGGCUGUGACAAAUAAAUUUUUUGGUUACGUUGAACUGUUA